UUACAGCACAGGGAUGCAGCUGAUAUCUCUGAAAGCAGAAAGGCUGAAGGCUUCUGGGCAGAACAACUGGCUACAGUGGAUGCUAAAACCGGAGCCUCAGAGAAAGAAGGCUGCUAAUGGCCCCAGGAAAUCUGUCCCAUCAUCUGGGUCCCUCGAUGAAGCAUUCAAAUUCAGCACAGAGAAAACAAAUGUACAGUGGAGAGAGAAAUGAUUCUCUGUACCACCACCAUGAAGGUUACCAUCAGCACACACUCAAGGAAGAAAACAAGCCUGAAUCCAAACAAGAUGCAGCUUAAGAUCACUGAACUGUGCAGACAAAUAUCUGAAUGUUUAAACACAUAAAGAAUUUCCCCUGUCAAUCCACAUAGCCUCAUGCUGUCAAGAACUUCGCAGGACUCCUUAUUAAGAGCUGGCAGGAUUUGCUUGUAAGCAGGCUUCCCCCAUCUCUAGCAAUACAGAAGGUAUUGGUGCAUUCCUAUUUUUCUCCAAACAUAGGAGGAGGCUUGCAACCUACUGACUUCGAACCACCACGAAAAUGACAGAUUGCUACUUUGUGAUAAUUGUCAUAAGAUUCCGUGCCUGAAACUGAGAUGUUUUCUUCUUCUAUUCCCACUUCUUCUAUUUCAAGUGACCCUAUUAAUGAUAGAUCUCUACUUGAAAUAAUUGGCUAUUCUAAAACUGAGAAAUAAGCACUUUCCUGUCCUCAUUGUUUUUCCUUCUUUAUCUCUAACAGCCCCAGAGGAUCACAAACAUUUGUCCUCAGGGCAAUAUCAGCGGUUAAUGAUUCAUGUUCAAAGUCUGUGAGUUGCCUAAUUAACAAAAGGCAAUGUUUUACAGAAGCCAUUUUUGCUUUCAAGUUAAUAGCACACAGCAGAUACAAAUGCUACAAUGCCAUGCAGGUCUUCAAGGCUGUGGUACACUACUGUUUCCAAAGGUUCCAGGUUCAUUUAUCUGACCCAAACUUCAAGCCAUUAAAAACAAAGCACUCUCGUUUGUUUCCUUUUGAAUGAUUGGCAGUCUUACAGCACCAUUCACAUAUCACAUCCUCCUGUAAUGUACUCAUAAAAUUUAUGUUUCAGUUCUUAUUAAAUGGGGCACUUGAUUAAUGAAAAUAAUAUGAGCUUCUUUUCUGUCAACUAUACACAUAACAGUAUCAGUCAUUAAAGAAGUCAGAAUCUUUAAAAUAACCCAAUCAUCUUUUAAUAUACAUGGUGACACAUAUGAAAUAUUUCCUCAAUAGCAUGUGUGUGGUAAGACUUCUGUUACUAUAGCAACGUGUCAUUCUGCAUUUUCAUACAGAAAGACUGAUGUUGGAUAAAUAUUGACAUUUUCAAAAUUACAGUAUGUGUAUGUGUCU
rnacentral:lncRNA from 1 species